GUGUCAGCAGCCGCGGUAAUACGGAGGAUGCAAGCGUUAUCCGGAUUUAUUGGGUUUAAAGGGUGCGUAGGCGGGACAAUAAGUCAGUGGUGAAAUCCUGCGGCUUAACCGUAGAAUUGCCAUUGAUACUGUUGUUCUUGAGUACAGUUGAGGUGGGCGGAAUGUGUAAUGUAGCGGUGAAAUGCUUAGAUAUUACACAGAACACCGAUUGCGAAGGCAGCUCACUAAGCUGUUACUGACGCUGAGGCACGAAAGCGUGGGGAGCAAACAGGAUUAGAAACCCCCGUAGUCC
rnacentral:rRNA from 1 species